GAUGAACGCUGGCGGCGUGCUUAACACAUGCAAGUCGAACGGGAAUUAUUUUAUUGAAACUUCGGUCGAUUUAAUUUAAUUCUAGCGGCGGACGGGUGAGUAACGCGUGGGUAACCUGCCUUAUACAGGGGGAUAACAGUCAGAAAUGGCUGCUAAUACCGCAUAAGCGCACAGAGCUGCAUGGCUCAGUGUGAAAAACUCCGGUGGUAUAAGAUGGACCCGCGUUGGAUUAGCUGGUUGGUGGGGUAACGGCCCACCAAGGCGACGAUCCAUAGCCGGCCUGAGAGGGUGAACGGCCACAUUGGGACUGAGACACGGCCCAGACUCCUACGGGAGGCAGCAGUGGGGAAUAUUGCACAAUGGGGGAAACCCUGAUGCAGCGACGCCGCGUGAAGGAAGAAGUAUCUCGGUAUGUAAACUUCUAUCAGCAGGGAAGAUAGUGACGGUACCUGACUAAGAAGCCCCGGCUAACUACGUG
rnacentral:rRNA from 1 species